GACGAACGCUGGCGGCGUGCUUAACACAUGCAAGUCGAACGGAAAGGCCCUGCUUUUGUGGGGUGCUCGAGUGGCGAACGGGUGAGUAACACGUGAGUAACCUGCCCUUGACUUUGGGAUAACUUCAGGAAACUGGGGCUAAUACCGGAUAGGAGCUCCUGCUGCAUGGUGGGGGUUGGAAAGUUUCGGCGGUUGGGGAUGGACUCGCGGCUUAUCAGCUUGUUGGUGGGGUAGUGGCUUACCAAGGCUUUGACGGGUAGCCGGCCUGGGAGGGUGACCGGCCACAUUGGGACUGCGAUACGGCGCAGACUGCUACGGGAGGCAGCAGUGGGGAAUAUUGCACAAUGGGCGGAAGCCUGAGGCAGCAACGCCGCGUGCGGGAUGCCGGCCUUCGGGUUGUAAACCGCUUUCGCCUGUGACGAAGCGUGAGUGACGGUAAUGGGUAAAGAAGCACCGGCUAACUACGUG
rnacentral:rRNA from 1 species